rnacentral:lncRNA from 1 species
GGGAUAUUAGAAAUCCUCCUAACCUGGGUAUCUUCAACCUAGCAUAUUAUUGCUUCGAUGUCACAACAUACAGCUUUGGGGGUGUUUCAGCAACAGUGCAAAGUUCUACAUUACAGUUCUACAGUACACUAUGACAUCACCCAAAGGCCUGUAGAAUGUUAAAUAUCAUAUCUAAAUAUGAUGGAACGGUGCUUUCACUUAAGCCUCUGAAUCACGUCAGCAUUCUCAUUGUAGCAACUUGUUUUUGAAUCCUCCAUGCAGGCUAAAAAGGCUUUAGGGAAUAUAAGGCUUUCCUCCAGCCAGUGAGCAAGGAUGAGAUUAUUGCUCCAAAGGCCCCUGAGAUCUAUCAGAAAGCAAAAGUCCUGGAUUCCAAAGAGAUCUGGAACAUUCUAAGGGACGAGUCGGAGUCCAAACUGGCUUGGACAGAGACAGCCAUUGACGUGCCCUCCGUGAUCAAGGCGUUUAAUGACAGGAUGGAGUGUCAGAAGCUGCUGGAGGUUCAGGGUCAAGGGAAGUCUAGCCGCCAUAAGAAUUGAGUGCUGCUCAUGUUCAAGGCCUCGGAGGCCAACCUGGACAGGACAGCCCUUACUCAUAGCCAACAACCCCUGCCUGACCUCCAUAACCUGAAGGAGGGUGGCAGCCCCACCAAAUACCUGGCAGGCAACCCCCUCGCACCUGCCCCCCGCCCCCACCAAGAGGCUUGAAGUCAUUCGAGGUCAUCAGAGUAGUUUGCCCCCUCUGAAACAUCCUCUUAAAUUGCCAUCUGGGACGAGAAGAGAGGGCAGUUAGUGGAGCAGCAUAGCUGCAUCAUGGGUGCGAACAAGUCUCUGUGUGUAGUUCUCUGAGGAUAGGUAAACUUUUUCAGACAGGGACAACUGGCAAGAAGGUAUUUCAUCACAC